rnacentral:rRNA from 1 species
UGCUCGAGUGGCGAACGGGUGAGUAACACGUGAGUAACCUGCCCUCGACUUUGGGAUAACUUCAGGAAACUGGGGCUAAUACCGGAUAGGAGCUCCUGCUGCAUGGUGGGGUUGGAAAGUUUCGGCGGUUGGGGAUGGACUCGCGGCUUAUCAGCUUGUUGGUGGGGUAGUGGCUUACCAAGGCUUUGACGGGUAGCCGGCCUGAGAGGGUGACCGGCCACAUUGGGACUGAGAUACGGCCCAG